CGUAAUCGGUCUUUUCCUAGCGUACGUUUAGCGCAAAGCUGGCUACCGAGUUGGUCCCUCGUUCAGCGAAAUCCACAAACAUCUUCCACAAUGUUUAACGUCACAGUAGACCAAACACGUGCCAUCAUGGACAAAAAGUCUGACAUCCCGUUACACCCACGAGGAAGGACCAGCAUGCGUGCAGGUGCUUGAUGCCAUCCUGAACUUCAGAAAGGAGGAAAUUGCAAAGCUUAUUAGGAAGCUGGACAUCAAACCACUGCUGAAGGCCAUGAUGUGCCAUUGGCUGCAAGCCGAAGAUAAUGGAGAGUGCUUUUAAGGUUUCCAGCUCGCAGCUUGAGCCCAGGCUUCUAGAGCCUGUUUACCUGGUGGAGAUCCAGUGCCCAUAGUAAGGUGCCAUCUAUGGUGUGCCACACUCAUGGAGAUGCAGACUCCCACGAAGGAUAUAUCCCAACCUUCCCAGUGUGGCAGGCUGACACUAAGAUGUUCUGGCACUUGGACAAACAAUUUGAAUUAUUUUCCUUUUUACCAAAGAUCCAAUUUGAUUUGUUACACAAGUAUUUAAACAUUUCAUAAACAAGGUAUAAUGUACCAACAGAUACAUCGUCUCUUUUCUUGAAAGUUGUUUUAUGCUAACUGAUUCAAGUGUUUGGUUUUAAUUCAUUGCAGAAUUGAUCAUUUUAGUGAAGUUUAUGUACUGUGUACAUACCAUGUGUACUAAAGCAUACAGCUACUCCGUAUUCAUACUGUAAUCACAGUAAAUGUAAUGGUUAAACAUCUGUCUCCCAGUUCAGAUGUAUGCAUUUUGGAUACAUCUUUGGAAGACUUUGUCUUAAAAUACAAGCCAAAAAUAAAUAAACCAGUCGGUUUUGCUUUUCCCUGUUAGGGAACUUGUUUGAUUUACCUGUUAACUUCCAAAAAGUGUUUUUAUAAAUUAAAAUGUUAUCCUGUCUGAAA